GAGUUUGAUCAUGGCUCAGAUUGAACGCUGGCGGCAGGCCUAACACAUGCAAGUCGAGCGGAUGAGAAGAGCUUGCUCUUCGAUUCAGCGGCGGACGGGUGAGUAAUACCUAGGAAUCUGCCUGGUAGUGGGGGACAACGUUUCGAAAGGAACGCUAAUACCGCAUACGUCCUACGGGAGAAAGCAGGGGACCUUCGGGCCUUGCGCUAUCAGAUGAGCCUAGGUCGGAUUAGCUAGUUGGUGAGGUAAUGGCUCACCAAGGCUACGAUCCGUAACUGGUCUGAGAGGAUGAUCAGUCACACUGGAACUGAGACACGGUCCAGACUCCUACGGGAGGCAGCAGUGGGGAAUAUUGGACAAUGGGCGAAAGCCUGAUCCAGCCAUGCCGCGUGUGUGAAGAAGGUCUUCGGAUUGUAAAGACUUUUAAGUUGGGAGGAAGGGCAGUAAGCGAAUACCUUGCUGUUUUGACGUUACCGACAGAAUAAGCACCGGCUAACUCUGUGCCAGCAGCCGCGGUAAUACAGAGGGUGCAAGCGUUAAUCGGAAUUACUGGGCGUAAAGCGCGCGUAUGUGGUUCGUUAAGUUGGAUGUGAAAUCUCCGGGCUCAACCUGGGAACUGCAUCCAAAACUGGCGAGCUAGAGUAG
rnacentral:rRNA from 1 species